rnacentral:rRNA from 1 species
GGUUAAGCGACUAAGCGUACACGGUGGAUGCCCUGGCAGUCAGAGGCGAUGAAGGACGUGCUAAUCUGCGAUAAGCGUCGGUAAGGUGAUAUGAACCGUUAUAACCGGCGAUUUCCGAAUGGGGAAACCCAGUGUGUUUCGACACACUAUCAUUAACUGAAUCCAUAGGUUAAUGAGGCGAACCGGGGGAACUGAAACAUCUAAGUACCCCGAGGAAAAGAAAUCAACCGAGAUUCCCCCAGUAGCGGCGAGCGAACGGGGAGCAGCCCAGAGCCUGAAUCAGUGUGUGUGUUAGUGGAAGCGUCUGGAAAGGCGCGCGAUACAGGGUGACAGCCCCGUACACAAAAAUGCACAUACUGUGAGCUCGAUGAGUAGGGCGGGACACGUGGUAUCCUGUCUGAAUAUGGGGGGACCAUCCUCCAAGGCUAAAUACUCCUGACUGACCGAUAGUGAACCAGUACCGUGAGGGAAAGGCGAAAAGAACCCCGGCGAGGGGAGUGAAAAAGAACCUGAAACCGUGUACGUACAAGCAGUGGGAGCCUCUUUUAUGGGGUGACUGCGUACCUUUUGUAUAAUGGGUCAGCGACUUAUAUUCUGUAGCAAGGUUAACCGAAUAGGGGAGCCGAAGGGAAACCGAGUCUUAACCGGGCGUUAAGUUGCAGGGUAUAGACCCGAAACCCGGUGAUCUCAGCCAUGGGCAGGUUGAAGGUUGGGUAACACUAACUGGAGGACCGAACCGACUAAUGUUGAAAAAAUUAGCGGAUGACUUGUGGCUGGGGGGUGAAAGGCCAAUCAAACCGGGAGAUAGCUGGUUCUCCCCGAAAGCUAUUUAGGUAGCGCCUCGUGAAUUCAUCUCCGGGGGUAGAGCACUGUUUCGGCAAGGGGGUCAUCCCGACUUACCAACCCGAUGCAAACUGCGAAUACCGGAGAAUGUUAUCACGGGAGACACACGGCGGGUGCUAACGUCCGUCGUGAAGAGGGAAACAACCCAGACCGCCAGCUAAGGUCCCAAAGUCAUGGUUAAGUGGGAAACGAUGUGGGAAGGCCCAGACAGCCAGGAUGUUGGCUUAGAAGCAGCCAUCAUUUAAAGAAAGCGUAAUAGCUCACUGGUCGAGUCGGCCUGCGCGGAAGAUGUAACGGGGCUAAACAAUGCACCGAAGCUGCGGCAGCGACACUGUGUGUUGUUGGGUAGGGGAGCGUUCUGUAAGCCUGUGAAGGUGUACUGUAAGGUAUGCUGGAGGUAUCAGAAGUGCGAAUGCUGACAUAAGUAACGAUAAAGCGGGUGAAAAGCCCGCUCGCCGGAAGACCAAGGGUUCCUGUCCAACGUUAAUCGGGGCAGGGUGAGUCGACCCCUAAGGCGAGGCCGAAAGGCGUAGUCGAUGGGAAACAGGUUAAUAUUCCUGUACUUGGUGUUACUGCGAAGGGGGGACGGAGAAGGCUAUGUUGGCCGGGCGACGGUUGUCCCGGUUUAAGCGUGUAGGCUGGUUUUCCAGGCAAAUCCGGAAAAUCAAGGCUGAGGCGUGAUGACGAGGCACUACGGUGCUGAAGCAACAAAUGCCCUGCUUCCAGGAAAAGCCUCUAAGCAUCAGGUAACAUCAAAUCGUACCCCAAACCGACACAGGUGGUCAGGUAGAGAAUACCAAGGCGUUUGAGAGAACUCGGGUGAAGGAACUAGGCAAAAUGGUGCCGUAACUUCGGGAGAAGGCACGCUGAUAUGUAGGUGAAGUCCCUCGCGGAUGGAGCUGAAAUCAGUCGAAGAUACCAGCUGGCUGCAACUGUUUAUUAAAAACACAGCACUGUGCAAACACGAAAGUGGACGUAUACGGUGUGACGCCUGCCCGGUGCCGGAAGGUUAAUUGAUGGGGUCAGCGCAAGCGAAGCUCUUGAUCGAAGCCCCGGUAAACGGCGGCCGUAACUAUAACGGUCCUAAGGUAGCGAAAUUCCUUGUCGGGUAAGUUCCGACCUGCACGAAUGGCGUAAUGAUGGCCAGGCUGUCUCCACCCGAGACUCAGUGAAAUUGAACUCGCUGUGAAGAUGCAGUGUACCCGCGGCAAGACGGAAAGACCCCGUGAACCUUUACUAUAGCUUGACACUGAACAUUGAGCCUUGAUGUGUAGGAUAGGUGGGAGGCUUUGAAGUGUGGACGCCAGUCUGCAUGGAGCCGACCUUGAAAUACCACCCUUUAAUGUUUGAUGUUCUAACGUGGACCCGUGAUCCGGGUUGCGGACAGUGUCUGGUGGGUAGUUUGACUGGGGCGGUCUCCUCCUAAAGAGUAACGGAGGAGCACGAAGGUUGGCUAAUCUCGGUCGGACAUCAGGAGGUUAGUGCAAUGGCAUAAGCCAGCUUGACUGCGAGCGUGACGGCGCGAGCAGGUGCGAAAGCAGGUCAUAGUGAUCCGGUGGUUCUGAAUGGAAGGGCCAUCGCUCAACGGAUAAAAGGUACUCCGGGGAUAACAGGCUGAUACCGCCCAAGAGUUCAUAUCGACGGCGGUGUUUGGCACCUCGAUGUCGGCUCAUCACAUCCUCGGGGCUGAAGUAGGUCCCAAGGGUAUGGCUGUUCGCCAUUUAAAGUGGUACGCGAGCUGGGUUUAGAACGUCGUGAGACAGUUCGGUCCCUAUCUGCCGUGGGCGCUGGAGAACUGAGGGGGGCUGCUCCUAGUACGAGAGGACCGGAGUGGACGCAUCACUGGUGUUCGGGUUGUCAUGCCAAUGGCACUGCCCGGUAGCUAAAUGCGGAAGAGAUAAGUGCUGAAAGCAUCUAAGCACGAAACUUGCCCCGAGAUGAGUUCUCCCUGACCCUUUAAGGGUCCUGAAGGAACGUUGAAGACGACGACGUUGAUAGGCCGGGUGUGUAAGCGCAGCGAUGCGUUGAGCUAACCGGUACUAAUGAACCGUGAGGCUUAACCUU